rnacentral:rRNA from 1 species
AGCGGCGGAUGGGUGAGUAACACGUGGGGAACCUACCCCUAAGUCUGGGAUACCAUUUGGAAACAGGUGCUAAUACCGGAUAAUAAAGCAGAUCGCAUGAUCAGCUUUUGAAAGGCGGCGUAAGCUGUCGCUAAGGGAUGGCCCCGCGGUGCAUUAGCUAGUUGGUAAGGUAACGGCUUACCAAGGCGACGAUGCAUAGCCGAGUUGAGAGACUGAUCGGCCACAUUGGGACUGAGACACGGCCCAAACUCCUACGGGAGGCAGCAGUAGGGAAUCUUCCACAAUGGACGCAAGUCUGAUGGAGCAACGCCGCGUGAGUGAAGAAGGUUUUCGGAUCGUAAAGCUCUGUUGUUGGUGAAGAAGGAUAGAGGUAGUAACUGGCCUUUAUUUGACGGUAAUCAACCAGAAAGUCACGGCUAACUACGUGCCAGCAGCCGCGGUAAUACGUAGGUGGCAAGCGUUGUCCGGAUUUAUUGAGCGUAAAGCGAGCGCAGGCGGAAAAAUAAGUCUAAUGUGAAAGCCCUCGGCUUAACCGAGGAACUGCAUCGGAAACUGUUUUUCUUGAGUGCAGAAGAGGAGAGUGGAACUCCAUGUGUAGCGGUGGAAUGCGUAGAUAUAUGGAAGAACACCAGUGGCGAAAGGCGGCUCUCUGGUCUGCAACUGACGCUGAGGCUCGAAAGCAUGGGUAGCGAACAGGAUUAGAUACCCUGGGUAGUCCAUGCCGUAAACGAUGAGUGCUAAGUGU